AGUGAACGCUGGCGGUAGGCCUAACACAUGCAAGUCGAACGGCAACACAGUAAGAGUUUGCUCUUACGGGUGGCGAGUGGCGGAUGGGUGAGUAAUACAGCGGAAUCUACUUUUUCGUGGGGGAUAACGUAGGGAAACUUACGCUAAUACCGCAAACGACCAACUGGUGAAAGCAGGGGAUCGUCGGACCUUGCGCGAUUGAAUGAUCCGAUGUCGGAUUACCUAGUUGGCGGGGUAAAGGCCCACCAAGGCGACGAUCCAUAGCUGGUCUGAGAGGAUGAUCAGCCACACUGGAACUGAGACAGGGUCCAGACUCCUACGGGAGGCAGCAGUGGGGAAUAUUCGACAAUGGGCGCAAGCCUGAUGCAGCCAUACCGCGUGGAUGAAGAAGGCCUUCGGGUUGUAAAGCCCUUUUGUUGGGAAGGAAAAGAAGCAAGUUAAUACCCAGAUGUUUUGACGGUACCAACAGAAUAAGCACCGGCUAACUCCGUG
rnacentral:rRNA from 1 species